rnacentral:rRNA from 1 species
UACGGAGGGUGCAAGCGUUAAUCGGAAUUACUGGGCGUAAAGCGCACGCAGGCGGUUUAUUAAGUCAGCUGUGAAAUCCCCGGGCUCAACCUGGGAACUGCAUCUGAUACUGGCAAGCUUGAGUCUCGUAGGGGGGGAUGGAAUUCCAGGUGGAGCGGUGAAACGCGUAGAGAUCUGGAGGAAUACCGAUGGCGAAGGCGGCCCCCUGGACGAAGACUGACGCUCAGGGGCGAAAGCGUGGGGAGCAAAUAGG